rnacentral:lncRNA from 1 species
UGUGCCCUCCCUGGCCUUCUCCUCCUUCCUGGUUUUCCACCCUUACUCUACCACCAACGUACCACCAACGUACCACCACCAACGUACCACCACCACCACCACCACCACCACCACAGCCCCUAGCCACUUCUUAUCAGCACAGGAUUCGACUCCAAACCACAAGAAGACGCUGGCCGUCUUGUCGAAGGACCCCGAGGCUAGGCGACGCCCGUCGCAACUCCAGGCCACCGAGUGCACCUUGGCGCUGUGCGCCAGGAACUCGCGCGUCUUGCUGUGGCCCCGGAACAGCUCCUGCAUCCCAAGCACGUAGCGCGACGGGCCGCUGCUCACUGAGCACCACGGGGCCAUCGAGCCGGGGCCGCUCUGGCCCAACGCCGAGGGCCCCAUGGCUGCAGCGGGGACCGCCAUGCCGAGCUCCCCAGCUUCCAACUCACAACACUGCAGCAGCCUCCACGGCGCAGUCAGUCCUGGCGCCGCUGCCGCACGCAUGCGCCCGGAAGAGCGACGGCCCCUCUGCGCAGGCGCGCUGUACCCCGCCCCGGAAGGGACUACAAAUCCCGGUAUGCAGCGCGUGCCCGCGUCUGCUUACUUAGUAAUAUUUGGUUCUUUUAACUCCAAAUAUGCUUCACACUUAACGAUUCCGAGUUUUUUUAGUGUUCUUAUUUCUCCCUUACCUAUUCUUUGGUAGAUAUAUGUGUAUUCCUGUUUAAUCGAAUAAAAGAACCAACACUAACCUUCUAA